GCGCGCAGGCAUCUUGGAGCAGGUAACGCGAUACCGGCUGGCGGCAGCGUCGUGAGGUGUGGCGUGCUGCGUCCUUCACCCACGAGCACCCUGGACUCACCAGUCGGCUAGACACACGGUUCAUCAUGAUCCUCUCGGGAAGGUCCAUGGUGUUGGCAAUGGUCAGCACUAUCAAGUGGGCCCCUUUGUGAGUAGGCCAAUCAAAGAGGUUGUACAUUACAUCUUGUUUGUGAGUCCAAAGAAGGUCAAGCUGCCAAAGACAAUAUACAUACAAUGUCACUCAGAGACCAAGCCAGAGCACAUAAAGUGAUAGCCUGCACUACAGAGUGAGUGCACGCCCUGUCCACAUGGCACUUUCUAGUCCGUAAGAGAAUCAAUGGACAGGCUUCAGUUGAUACAGAAGGAGCCAGCACUUUUGCCUACACACUGUCUGCUUCUGGGAGAGUGAGUCUGUGCAGCCACUCCUCCUCUUGUACUCCUGGGGCACCUCACAGUGGGGCAAGUAGACAAUGCCACCAGACAGAAGGACUGGGUAAGGCCAAACAGGCUCAGACUCCAGGGAAUCUCAGAAUUGAGAACAGCAGGAGUGGAGCCAGCUCCCUGCCAAGCGCUAGCUGUUCUGGAGCAGGAGUGAAGUAAUAGUCAUAGCUCCAAUUGUUCCCCAGCUACAGUAUGUGCAGACUCUAAUUGUUUAAAAGGUCAUUCAUCAAUUGGGAGAAAACAGCACCUGAAGGAAAAGUACCAGAAGUCUACAAGACGUUCCAGGAAUCACUUCUUCUGGGGCUAAUGCCACUACCUGAAUUUCAGAAAUGAGAUGAACAAGAAAAUGUGAAGACUACACAGCUAAGAAAGACUAUCAUGGCUGCAGUGAAAACUAUUUAACCUCCCAUCUUUAUAUGAAAUGAGGCAGACACUGUACAGCACACUGACUGAGAAACUGAGCAUUUAAAAAGCCAUGAAUAGUUCAAGGAUUUCGAUGAAAUGUAAAUUAUUCGUAUUUUGAUUUUGAGACAGUGUCUUUCUAUGUAGCCCUGGCCUGCCUCCAACUCAGAGAACUGCCAGCCCCUCCCUCCUGUGGACCACCAUGCCCAGCAAAUUAUUCUUUUUCUCUCUCAUAGGCUUUACUAUGAGACAGGGUCUCCUGUAAAUUCUGAUCCUAACUCUACUUCUUGAGUAUUGGAAUUCCAGGUGUGUACAACUACAGCUGUGUAUUGAACCCAGGGCUUCAUUUAUGCUAGGCAUAUGGUCUACUAACUGGACUAUAUCCUCACCCUGCCUGGCUUCUCUUCUUCAUUCUUGCUAUCGUCUCAGUUCAAGCACAUAUUAGCCCAUUCUUUGUUUCCCCACCCCACCCCCAAUCUAUUAAUCUAGGUCAAACUCCCCAAAAUGGCUCAACACAAUAAACAGUUAACGGUGGUCCCACACAGCUCCAAGACCAGAUGACUUAAACUCUUCUCUUCCUCUCCUCUCCCCCCUUACCUCUUCUCUGUUUGGUUUUGAGACCUCUGGCUUAGAAUCUACCUGCCUUUACUUCCCAAGUUCUGGGAUUAAAGGCACAAGCCGCCACCUUCCUGCCUCUUAAACUGUUCACUGCCUUCUAAGAUCAGGCUCCACCUCACUUGUUGCUUGGUGUUCCCUAAAUGGCCUUGCACACUAGCAGGCUGGCUUUAAUGACAGUCCUGCUUAUAACUCUCCGUGUUCCUUACACACCAUCCUCCUCUGCCCUUCUGCUGUAGCUACUUUCUAUUGCUAUGAUAAACACUGACCAAAGCUAACUGGUGGAGGAAGAUUUAUUUCACCUUACAGCUUGCAGUCAUGGUAAAAGCCCAUCACCGAGGGAACUGGAGACAGAAACUUAAGCAGAGAGCAAGGAAAAAUGAAUGCUGUUUUCUGCCCUUGCUUUUUUAUUUUUUAUUUUUAUUUCAUUUUUUAUAUGACCCAGAAGGUAGUAUACUCAGUGGGCUGGGCCCUUAAGAAGGUAGCAUACUCAGUGGGCUGGGCUCUUCACAUUAGUCAUUAAUAAAAUGCCCCAAAGACUUGCUCACAGACCGAUUUGUUGGAGGUAUUUCCAAACACCUCUCUUUAUGUCAAGUUGAGAAAAGCUAAACAGCACACCUUUCAAAUCUAUAUGUUUCAAUGUCUGCAUCUACCUUUCCUGCCUUCACUCAUUUAGCCAUGAAAUAGAUUUCUAUAGCCAGGUCAGACCAGUCUCUGUAGCCAAUUGUUAAACCAAUUCCCCACCCAAAGACAAACCUCACAAGAGAGCAUUAUCCUGCUACUGGGAUAUGAAAACAGCUCUAGAAAUAAGACUCAACAGGUCACCUCCUGAAUCAAAAAAUCUUGGAACACAGGCGUGCCUUUAGCAAUCAGCACUCUCUGUACUGAGUAAUUUAAGGUGAAGUCCUCAUUAUGUACUCAGCCUUACAAUGUUCUGUGCUCAUAUCAUUUCUCACUAAGGCACAUUUUCUAAUUCCUGCUCUUCUUUCUGGUCAUAAUCCCAAUGUUGCUUCCUCUAGAAAGCCCAGAGCAUUAUGUUCUAUGCUGUCAGUAUCUGUGUGCUGGGGCAAGCAGCCAAACAGAUAAUUAGAACAGAAUUCAAAUUAGAACUAGUAAUAUUUCUGAAGCCAUGCAGUGUGGGUGCUAAAGAUAGAAGCAGGAUUUAAGGCACGAACCUGAACAGGGCCAAUGAUGGUCUCCACAUUAAUCUUGUUAUCCCAGUCAGAACAGUCAUACCAGAAUAUCUCCUGUGCAGGAGGACUGCGGCCUAACAAGUGCCUUUUAGAGACAGGAAUCUCAAGGAAUCUGACAAACCACUGUACUCGUGCACAUUUCUUGGGAGGAACUUCAGCUCCUAGGAGGAUUGGGGAGGGCGGGAAGAUUAAAUAGUAAGGCAAACAAUACAGCACUGAAUAUUGCCUACGUGUCAAACACUACACAACAGAUAUACUUACUCCUGAUAAACUCUACAAAGCAUCUACUAUACCUAUCUAUCUCCUUACAGAGUAAGAAACCAAGUUUCAAGGACAUAAUAUUAUUUGUCAAUGACCAAAGGACCAAUCAGCAGCAAAAUGACUCCACAAACACUUUUUAGGUUGCUCCACUUUCCUUUAUUUUUGGCUUUUAGAGGCAGGGUUAUGUAGUCCAGGCUGUCCUAGAAUUGGCUUUGUAGAUCAGGAUGGCCUCAAACUCACAGAGAUCCAGCCGCCUCUGCCUCCAGAGUGCCGGGAUUAAAGGCGUGUGCCACAGGCCUGGAGUUGCUCCAUGUUUAAAAAAAAAAAUUAUUUUUAUUUGAUAUGCAUGAGUGUUUUGACUGAAUGCAUAUAUGACCAUAUGUACAUGCAGUAUCCGCGGAGGCUAAAAAGGGGACUCAGCUCCUCUAGAGUUGGAGUUGUAGACACGGGUACUAGGAACUAGCCCUGGGUCCCCUAACUGUGUAGUAAGUGUUCCCAGGUACUGAGCUCCCUUUCCAGCCCCGGGCUCUACUCCUUUAUGAUGUUUAUCAGUACACAGGGCAUUUCCAAAGGGAUGGAAAACAAGUUACUGGGGCUGGAGAGAUAGAUGGCUCAGUGGUAAAGAGCACUGGCUGUUCUUCUAGCGGUCCUUAGUUCAAUUCCCAGCAACCACAUGAUAGCUCACAACCACCUGUAAUGGGAUCCAGUGUCCUCUUCUGGUGUGUCUGGAGACACCGACAGUGUAAUACAUAAAAUAAAAAAAAAUUUUU
ensembl:processed_transcript Gm12743 predicted gene 12743